GGGGACGUAAUGGAAUCGACAGGGGAGUUAACUGGUAAGUAAGCAUGCCGGAGUACAAUAGCUCACCUCCGUCAACAACUGGCUAUUAACCAAUCUCAAAUGGCAAUACUCAGUAUGCCAUGGCUGCCUAAUUCUAGGAAUUAGAAAGCCUUUGUGCCGUGCGCUUGACGCCUGAUACACAGUGUGCCGCACAUCAACCACUUUCAGGCUAGCUUUGGGGUUUUCCUCGCCUCCGAAGCGAAGCUUAAGAGGAUAAGGGAUGAAUUGGGAGGGUUUCCAAUCCUAUCUCAUCCCCGACAAUUCAACUGGAAACUAAGCAUGUAGAAGGCUUAUUAGUGCUUUCGCUGGACGCGAGUUCGACUCUCGCCGUCUCCAC
rnacentral:tmRNA from 1 species